ACAUCAUUCAGAGCAGGUUGCUGUUCAGGACGUGGCCUGAGAUGAUGAUUUAACAUCCCUCAGAAACAUCUCAGAAACAGAAGCGAAACCACUGGCUGCUGUUCAGGACGUGGCCUGAGAUGAUGCCCAGAAAACAAACUAAGAAAAGGCAGUAACUCCACUUUACAGACAAAGUGGAAGAAGGCCAACAAGGCAGGUAGAAUGCCUUAGUUCACCUAAUGCCAGACUAGAUAAGUUGCAUUCUGUGUCCAGGACCCCUAGUGUAUGUGUGUGUGUGUGUGUGUGUGUGUGUGUGUGUGUGUUUGUGUGUGUGUGUGUUCUGUGUCCAGGACCCCUGGUGUGUUUGGGUUCAGUAGCACACGAAGGAAAGGAGAGAGAGAGUAGAGUGGAGUAUAGGGGACGGCCUGUUCUCUAGACUGAGCUCUGUGUGUGUGUGUGUGUGUUAUAGGGGACGGCCUGUUCUUUAGACUAAGCUAUGUGUGUGUGUGUGUGUGUGUGUGUGUGUGUGUGUGUGUGUGUGUGUGUGUGUGUGUGUGGAGUAUAGGGGACGGCCCGUUCUCUAGACUGAUGCUGUGGCUGGACGCCUCUCUGAGGGCAGCUACCAAGAUGGCGACUAACUGUGGCUGGGACUCGGCCUACACCUGGCCCAAUCAGCCGUUACCUGGGCAGUCUCUGGACCAAUCAGCCGUUACCUGGGCAGUCUCUUGACCAAUCAGCCGUUACCUGGGCAGUCACGAGAAGAAGCGAGAGAAGUGUGUGUGUCGUUCUCGGCAGGCCUGUGGCCCUCACGUUCUCACACUGGACAGAACACUGUGCUUUCCUAAGGGGAACCGCACUGAGGUCCCAUCAUUACUGUGUCUUUUGAACCAAAUGGAUUUGGAUAGAAUCAUACUACUCUGAAGGCAAUGACGUAAAAUCUAUAUAAAAAUCGAAAUAAAAUAUACCAAAGCAAAAUAGUGUCGUUGCUUAAACAUAUGUGCCUAAUUUGUCAAUAUUUUGAGGUAUAUUUUGUAGAAAGAAAGAACCCUGUGUUAGAUCUCUUUUUUCGGGACGCAGUCUAAACGUUUUAAAGAUGCCCUGGCCUUUCCGGAACUCUGUGUUCCCAAGGUGUCUUUCAGCCUUUAAACCCAUUGCAGUGCCCACUAUGUCCAGUUGGGGGCACCAUACACCUCUCUAUUGAUAUAUCGCACUGCCAGCACACAGCCCAAAAGAAGCCUUUAUUUGGCCUAUAAAAGACAGUACAGAUUUGGCAGGAGUUGUUAUAUGCACCAAAAGUAGUUCUACUGAGUAAAAAAAGUAAUUUGUUUAAGUGCAUUUGAAACAGUGAGUGAGAGUUAUGCUGCUGGAAACCCCUCUAAAUCCGGAAGAGCUUAGGCCAGAUGUCGGUGGCGUACGGACCUUUUAGACUCGAGAGAUUACUGAGCCCUCACCAGCGGUGCCCCUCACCAACGGUGCCCCGCACGGCAGCCGAGUCCUGUCUGGACCUGGCACAGGGCGGCUGCCGGCCCGGUGUGUGAGGCGCCAUGCCAGUGUGAGCUUUGUGGUUUACGGUGACGUGUGUGUCACACUGUCAGGGAUGCGGAACGGAACACAGAGAGGCAGAAACGUCACCAAUCGAGGGUCUGGGUUCAAAGGGCAUUCUUACACUUCCACAGAGUGACAAACAUUUGUGAUUUUACUUCCCAAUUAGUUGUUGCUCAGGUUUCUGGGCCUCACUGUGCAUUGUUGGACUAUCUACUUAAAUUUGGACUCGAGUCAAACAGCAUCAUAGCCUUUGGCCCCCAGCCCUGCGGAAAAG
ensembl:lncRNA